GGUUUUUAGAUAGUAUUAAAAAUCAGGCCUGCUCAAUGAAAAUUAAAUAGCCGCAGUAUUAUGACUGUGCAAAGGUAGCAUAAUAAUUUGUCUUUUAAUUUAGGACUGGAAUGAACGGUUAGACCGGGUGGUUUUGUCUUUGGGUGAUAUUUUGAAUUUUAUAUUUUAGUAAAAAAGCUAAAAUUUAUUUCAGGGACGAGAAGACCCUAUCAAACUUUACAAACUAAUCUUUCUCUCUUUAGAUAGAAUAAGUUUGUUUUACUGGGGCAGUAGGUAAUAAAAUUUUAUUUAAUUAUUGUGAGUUUUCCUCUUGAAAAAUCAGGAUUUUCCUAAGGAAAAAUAAGUUACUGUAGGGAUAACAGCGUAAUUCUUUUUUAGAGUUCUUAUCGAUAUAAGAGUUUGCGACCUCGAUGUUGGAUUAAAAUACCUUUCUCGCGCAAUAGGGAGAAAAGGAAGUCUGUUCGACUUUAAAAGUUUUCCA
rnacentral:rRNA from 2 species